rnacentral:rRNA from 1 species
GACGAACGCUGGCGGCGUGCCUAAUACAUGCAAGUAGAACGCUGAAGAGAGGAGCUUGCUCUUCUUGGAUGAGUUGCGAACGGGUGAGUAACGCGUAGGUAACCUGCCUUGUAGCGGGGGAUAACUAUUGGAAACGAUAGCUAAUACCGCAUAACAAUGGAUGACACAUGUCAUUUAUUUGAAAGGGGCAAUUGCUCCACUACAAGAUGGACCUGCGUUGUAUUAGCUAGUAGGUGAGGUAACGGCUCACCUAGGCGACGAUACAUAGCCGACCUGAGAGGGUGAUCGGCCACACUGGGACUGAGACACGGCCCAGACUCCUACGGGAGGCAGCAGUAGGGAAUCUUCGGCAAUGGGGGCAACCCUGACCGAGCAACGCCGCGUGAGUGAAGAAGGUUUUCGGAUCGUAAAGCUCUGUUGUAAGUCAAGAACGAGUGUGAGAGUGGAAAGUUCACACUGUGACGGUAGCUUGCCAGAAAGGGACGGCUAACUACGUGCCAGCAGCCGCGGUAAUACGUAGGUCCCGAGCGUUGUCCGGAUUUAUUGGGCGUAAAGCGAGCGCAGGCGGUUUGAUAAGUCUGAAGUUAAAGGCUGUGGCUCAACCAUAGUUCGCUUUGGAAACUGUCAAACUUGAGUGCAGAAGGGGAGAGUGGAAUUCCAUGUGUAGCGGUGAAAUGCGUAGAUAUAUGGAGGAACACCGGUGGCGAAAGCGGCUCUCUGGUCUGUAACUGACGCUGAGGCUCGAAAGCGUGGGGAGCGAACAGGAUUAGAUACCCUGGUAGUCCACGCCGUAAACGAUGAGUGCUAGGUGUUGGAUCCUUUCCGGGAUUCAGUGCCGCAGCUAACGCAUUAAGCACUCCGCCUGGGGAGUACGACCGCAAGGUUGAAACUCAAAGGAAUUGACGGGGGCCCGCACAAGCGGUGGAGCAUGUGGUUUAAUUCGAAGCAACGCGAAGAACCUUACCAGGUCUUGACAUCCCGAUGCUAUUUCUAGAGAUAGAAAGUUACUUCGGUACAUCGGUGACAGGUGGUGCAUGGUUGUCGUCAGCUCGUGUCGUGAGAUGUUGGGUUAAGUCCCGCAACGAGCGCAACCCCUAUUGUUAGUUGCCAUCAUUCAGUUGGGCACUCUAGCGAGACUGCCGGUAAUAAACCGGAGGAAGGUGGGGAUGACGUCAAAUCAUCAUGCCCCUUAUGACCUGGGCUACACACGUGCUACAAUGGUUGGUACAACGAGUUGCGAGUCGGUGACGGCAAGCUAAUCUCUUAAAGCCAAUCUCAGUUCGGAUUGUAGGCUGCAACUCGCCUACAUGAAGUCGGAAUCGCUAGUAAUCGCGGAUCAGCACGCCGCGGUGAAUACGUUCCCGGGCCU